rnacentral:rRNA from 1 species
CCUACGGGUGACAGCAGUGGGGAAUAUUGCACAAUGGGGGAAACCCUGAUGCAGCGACGCCGCGUGAGUGAAGCAGUAUUUCGGUAUGUAAAGCUCUUUCAGCAGGGAAAAAGAAAGACGCUCCCUGGCCACGUAGCCCCUGCUAACUACGUGCCCGCACCCGCGGGAAUCAGUAGGGGGCACGCGUUAUCCGGACUUACUGGGUGGAAAGGGAGCGGAGACGGCUGUGCAAGUCUGAAGUGAAAGCCCAGGGCUCAACCCUGGAACUGCUUUGGCAACUGUGGAGCUAGAUUGCUGGAAGGGUAAGUGGAAUGCCUAGUGUAGCGGUGAAAUGCGUAGAUAUUAGGAGGGACACCAGUGGCGAAGGCGGGUUACUGGACAGUAACUGACGUUGAGGCUCGAAAGCGUGGGGAGCAAACAGGAUUAGAUACCCGGGUAGUC